UAUAUAGUUAAGAAGGAGGAGCUUAACAGUGUCACUGAAAUAUGAUCAGUUCCUUUGAAGCUUUGGCGCCUUUAGCUUCAGCUUGGCGCUUUAGCUUCGAAGGAACUGAUCAUAUUUCAGUGACACUAUUAAGCUCCUCCUUCUUAACUAUAUAUUUAUCA